CUCGCGCUUUCACACAAACCCCCCUUUUAAAAGUGUAGAAUGACCUCAUGUAUGCGUUAACCCGCAAUCAAUACAUACUUUCAACAACGGAUCUCUUGGCUCUCGCAUCGAUGAAGAACGCAGCGAAAUGCGAUACGUAAUGUGAAUUGCAGAAUUCAGUGAAUCAUCGAAUCUUUGAACGCACCUUGCGCCCCUUGUAUUCCGAGGGGCACACCUCGUUUGAGUGUCGUGAAAACCUCAACCUCCUUGGUUUCUUCUGGAGACCACAGCAGGCUUGGACUUUGGAGGCCUUUGCUGGCACCUCUCUUUCUGAAGGCCAGCUCCUCUUAAACAAAUUAGCAGGGUCCUCUUUGCUGAUCCUCGACGU
rnacentral:rRNA from 1 species